GCCUCCCGCGCGCGCCCUUGGUCCUCCGCAGCCGCAACUGAGCUUGAGUCAGAGCUGAUGGCACAGGCUGAGGGGUGCGAGCCCCCUCCUGGGGAGCCACGGACAGCUGACGACCAGGUUUCUUGCUCCAAACUGGAUCCAACAGAAGUAAGUGUCAAUCAUGCGGUGAUGAACUGAUUCCUGCCAAUCUAGUAGGGAGGUCUCCUGAAUCUUUACCAGGUGCCCCCUUCUCACAGAGGGAAACCUCCCAUCUUUCAGCGCCCACCAGCUUUGCCUUCAGCACCAGAUGAGUAUCUGACUCCGAAUUCGAACGCUAUUCACUGUGUGUCCUCCACAAAUCGGCACACUACUGCUUAUGAAAAUUUACGUUCUCUUAAAAACUGCUUGCCCUGUC
rnacentral:lncRNA from 1 species